GAUGAACGCUGACAGAAUGCUUAACACAUGCAAGUCAACUUGAACUUCGGUUUGGGUGGCGGACGGGCGAGUAACGCGUAAAGAACUUGCCUCACAGUUAGGGACAACAUUUGGAAACGAAUGCUAAUACCUGAUAUUAUGAUUUUAGGGCAUCCUAGAAUUAUGAAAGCUAUAUGCGCUGUGAGAGAGCUUUGCGUCCCAUUAGCUAGUUGGAGAGGUAACGGCUCACCAAGGCGAUGAUGGGUAGCCGGCCUGGGAGGGUGAACGGCCACAAGGGGACUGGGACACGGCCCUUACUCCUACGGGAGGCAGCAGUGGAGAAUAUUGGACAAAGGACCAAGAGUCUGAUCCAGCAAUUCUGUGUGCACGAUGAAGUUUUUCGGAAUGUAAAGUGCUUUCAGUUAGGAAGAAAAAAAUGACGGUACCAACAGAAGAAGUGACGGCUAAAUACGUG
rnacentral:rRNA from 1 species